rnacentral:pre_miRNA from 1 species
UUGAAGAAUUCGAAGACUUCAACUUGCAAGCUUAAAGAAUUUGAACACUUCAACUUGCAUACUUGGAUAAUUUGAAGACUUCAACU